UUUCUAUGGGAUGCAGCAUAGACGUAUGAGAAUCACAACUCAGAUUUAGCAAUUCAACAACUCUCUGUCUCAAAGUCUCAUCUCUCUCUAACUAAGGGAGAGAGAGAAUGGAUACUGUGUUUUCAGUGGAUGAGAUUGCCGAUCAAUUAUGGUCAUCGCCGCCACCGAUGAGGUUAUCUCAUGACUUGGAUUCUUCUUCCGCCACUUCGUCCUCUAAAAUGAUGAACAGGAGCUCGUCGGAGUGGGCUUUUCAGCGUUUCCUUCAGGAGGCUGCAGCAGCUGAAACUACUUCCUCGUCUUCUUCACAGCAGAUCAAGCUUAAUCAUAAUUUAAUUCCUGAUCAAUCGAAGCCUGUGUCAUCGUUUGUCUCUGAACCUCCGAUUGAUUCCGAUGAACAUCAGGCUUUCCUCAAAAGACGCCUGGAUUUGGCAUGUGCCGCCUUCGCUUUGAAUCGUGCAAGCUAUAUAAAAUCUCAAGAUUCGGCUUCUUUGCCACCCGAAAAAGGAUCACUGGCAGCUAAUGCAUCACUCUGUGGAUCUCAACUUCCUCCAAAAGGAUCUGGGCAAGAAUUGGCAAAAGUUCAAGAUAAGGAUGCUGGUGAGCCAAUUGGAAUACCUCCCUUGCCUGCAUUGCAGAAGAAACCUGGUAUCCAGGUAAGGUCAACGACAAGCGGUUCAUCCGGAGAGCAAUCAGAAGAUGAUGAAGCUGAAGGAGAAGCAGAAACAACUCAAUCAACUGAUCCAACUGAUGUGAAACGUGUGAGGAGAAUGCUAUCCAAUAGAGAAUCAGCUAGACGCUCGAGAAGAAGAAAACAAGCCCAUCUGACAGAACUAGAGACGCAGGUCUCUCAAGUAAGAGUAGAAAACUCCUCUUUAUUGAAACGCUUGACUGACAUAAGCCAGAAGUACAAUGAAGCAGCAGUUGACAAUAGAGUAUUGAAAGCCGAUGUUGAGACAUUGAGAGCAAAGGUGAAGAUG
rnacentral:misc_RNA from 1 species